rnacentral:rRNA from 1 species
GAUGAACGCUGGCGGCGUGCUUAACACAUGCAAGUCGAACGAAACACCUUAUUUGAUUUUCUUCGGAACUGAAGAUUUGGUGAUUGAGUGGCGGACGGGUGAGUAACGCGUGGGUAACCUGCCCUGUACAGGGGGAUAACAGUCAGAAAUGACUGCUAAUACCGCAUAAGACCACAGCACCGCAUGGUGCAGGGGUAAAAACUCCGGUGGUACAGGAUGGACCCGCGUCUGAUUAGCUGGUUGGUGAGGUAACGGCUCACCAAGGCGACGAUCAGUAGCCGGCUUGAGAGAGUGAACGGCCACAUUGGGACUGAGACACGGCCCAAACUCCUACGGGAGGCAGCAGUGGGGAAUAUUGCACAAUGGGGGGAACCCUGAUGCAGCGACGCCGCGUGAGUGAAGAAGUAUUUCGGUAUGUAAAGCUCUAUCAGCAGGGAAGAAAAUGACGGUACCUGACUAAGAAACCCCGGCUAACUACGU